GGGCCUCUAGCCAUGCGUGGUUAGAGCGGCGAACUCAUAAUGCGGUGGUGCCGCGUUCGACUCGCGGGAGGCCGACCA
rnacentral:tRNA from 1 species